AUGGUGAAGGUUGGAGUGAACAGAUCUGGCCAUAUUGGAUGCCUGGACUGCAUGUUUGCCUUCAACUCUGGUAACAUGCAACAUGGGUACUGUUGCUAUCAAUGAUCUCAUCAUUGAAGUCAACUAUAUGCAAUCCAAUGUCCAGUGUGAUUAUAACCAUGGUACUUUACACAGUAGAGUCAAGGCUGGGAAUGGGAAACUUUUCUCGACAGGAAGGCCACGUCCAUCUUUCAGGAGUGUGAUCUACCAGCACCAACAGGGUUACGCUGGUGCUGAGGUACCUUGAUUAUCAUGGAGAAGGCUGCAGCCCACUCAAAGGGUGGAGCUGAAAAGGCUGAUGCCCCUGUGUUUGUGAAGGGCAUUAACCAUAAGGAUGAAUAACUCACUCAAGAGCAUCAGUAAUCAAUCCCUCCUUCACCACCAACUGCUUAGUCCCCAUGGUCAAGGUCAUCCUUGACAACUUUGGUAUCACUGAAGAACUCAGAACUAUAGUCACACCAUCAUUCCACCCAGACUGUAGAUGGCCCCUCUGGGGAACUGUGAUGAUGGACAUGAUAGAACAUCAUCUUUGCAUACAUUGGCUUCAAGGCUGUGGGCAAGGUCCUCUCAGAGCUGAAUAGGAAGCUCACUGACAUGGACUUCCACAGUCCUACUGCUGAUGUGUCCAUAGUAGACCUGACCUGCUGCUACCUGGAGAAAGCUCACAAUUAAGACAACAUCAAGAAGGUCGUGAAGCAAACAGUGGAGGGAGGUCUAAAGGACAUCUAUUCUAGGUUAUAAUGAGAACUGGGUUGUCUCCUGUGACUUCAAUAGCAGAACUACUCCCUCUUUCAUCUUUGGGCUGGGACUGACACUGGUCUCAACAGGCACUUUGCCAAGCUCAUUUUCAGGUAUGACUUUGAAUGUGAUGGACCUCAGAGUCUACAUGAUCUCCAAGGAAUAA
rnacentral:lncRNA from 1 species